GAUGAAGAACGUAGCGAAACGCGAUAAGUAAUGUGAAUUGCAGAAUUCAGUGAAUCAUCGAAUCUUUGAACGCACAUUGCGCCCCCUGGUAUUCCGGGGGGCAUGCCUGUCCGAGCGUCAUUACAACCCUCAAGCUCAGCUUGGUGUUGGGCCCCGCCGCCCCGGCGGGCCCUAAAGUCAGUGGCGGUGCCGUCCGGCUCCGAGCGUAGUAAUUCUUCUCGCUCUGGAGGUCCGGUCGUGUGCUCGCCAGCAACCCCCAAUUUUUUUCAGGUUGACCUCGGAUCAGGUAGGGAUACCCGCUGAACUUAAGCAUAUCAAUAAGCGGAGGA
rnacentral:misc_RNA from 1 species